UAGCGAGUAGCUCGCAAUGCGCAGACUCGCACUUGCUCGCUACUUCCUGCUUCUGUGUUGACAUCAGAAAGUACUCGGGAAAGCAACGUCGAGACAAGAAGAUGCACAUCUAAAGCCUGAUCAGUAUUCAUGACUCCAAAGAAACUAAAAAUGCAUCCUACUAGAUGAGAUACUGAACUGGAGAGCAGUGUGGACAUGAAUCAUCAAAGUCUCAAAGAAGGGGAUAUUUUGUGCACUUCUUCCGCAUUGCCCCCUGGCUGGAUCAGAGAAGUGAGGCAGCGGAAAGCAGGCAAAACAGCAGGCAAACUAGAUGUCUACUUUACAAGUCCCGAAGGGCAAAGGUUCCGGUCCAGAGCAUCCCUACGCACUUUCCUCCUGGAAAGUGGAAGUGGUAACUUAGACAUAAGCCUCUUUGAUUUCACCACAUCACAAGCACCCCCUUCCAAAGUAAAGCAGAGGAGAGGAAAGAAAAAGCCUUCAGAGGGACAGCAGGAGGAAACAGAAAAUGGAACAGCAAUUCUAGAGGCACCUCCAAAUAAAUCCAAACAAGCCUCUUCCUCCCUCAGAAGUGAUACUAAAAGUGGAAAAGUGAAGACAGCAAACGACACAAAUCAUAUUGAUGCUGACACUGAACUACAGAAGACUGCAUGUGUAUUAGAAGUGAAUGUGAAUGGAGACAAAACUACUGAAAGUUUAAAUGGUUGCUUACAAGCUUUGACCUCAGAAAAAGUGGACAAUGUACAUCUGCAAAAGAGCCCCCAAAGAGGAGGCCAGCUGAGAGAGAAGUUACUCAGACUGGCUCCUUUAAGUAAUCAACUAAACACAUCUAUUCUUCAAGAGGACAAGAAAGCAGAUUUGCAGCCUUCGGCCCCGAUUUUGAAUGUUGAACCUGCCGCUGAGAGCGAGAACAAAGGUGAUGAAAGCAAAGGUGACAACACUCCUAAUUCUGACCUGGAGGCUGGCAGUGACAGUCGUCAAGAUGCUGAAGAACAUGCGUUGUUACCUGAUACCACUGAUGGGAGCUGUACACCAGUUCGAGAAUCCCAGAAUAAGUCCAAAAACUUGGAAGGCAAGCGGAAAACAAGUCCUUAUUUCAGUGGGAAAUCCAGCAGAGAUGGACUUAGCCCACCGAGGAGGAAGGCCUUCAAGAAGUGGACACCUCCCCGGUCUCCCUUCAACCUCGUACAGGAAACUCUUUUCCAUGAUCCCUGGAAGCUGCUGGUAGCCACAGUUUUUCUGAACAAAACCAGUGGUAAAAUGGCCAUUCCAGUCCUGUGGCAGUUCUUUGAGCGUUAUCCAUCUGCAGAGGUGACCCGGCAGGCCGACUGGAAGCCCAUGUCUGAACUAAUGAAGCCACUUGGCCUGUAUGAGCUUAGAGCCAAAACACUCAUCCGCUUCUCAGAUGAGUAUCUAACUAAACAGUGGCGUUACCCUAUUGAGUUGCACGGUAUUGGAAAGUACGGCAACGAUUCGUACAGGAUCUUCUGUAUCAAUGAGUGGCGACAGGUAAAACCUGAUGAUCAUAUGCUAAACAAGUACCAUGCUUGGCUGUGGGAGAACCAUGAGAAACUGGGAAUCUGAAGGACCAGAAACAAGAAAAUCACUUCUAUCACACAAACUGCAGUUACCCAACAAUAUAACAAUAUUAGCAUUAUGGAGGACUUGAAAUUUUAAUCGUGAAUUUCUUCAAUAUUAUGCAGUAUUACGCUGGCUAGCCUUUAAGAACUUUUACUAUGUGUUGAAUAAAAUGUUUUAAGCUGGUUAAAAGUUGAAAUGAUUCAUGAGUGGUUUAUUCAGCCUUCUCGCCUCAGGCUUUCUACAUAGAUGAGAUCCAGGGACACCCCCUAAAUAUAGCUAUUGGCACAGUCUAAUCUUUCUUUAUGAGUGCAUUGAUGCGUACCACUUAAUGCAGCAGCUUUCUUUUGAUAGGGUGUAACUUGAUUCCCAAGGCAACUGUUGCCACCGCAAAACACUCAACACAUACAUCGGUACGUCAGUAUAAUCUCUAACUAGCACCACUAUAGCAAUCCGGUAUAUUUAAACUUGGAUUUAUUUUUUUUGUGUGUUGUUGCAUGUUGAUUUAAUGCUAAGGCAACUACACCUUUAAGAAGAAAAGUAGAGCUUUGAAAGUUUCAUUGGACUCCUCUGGUGUGCCAACAGAAGUGUGAAGUAUAAGAUGAAACUACGUAAGGAGAGAUUUUGUUUUCCAUUUGUUGUCCUUUUUUUUAAGUAUUACUGGUUUUAUUUAAAAGUAUCUCUUUUAAUUCUUUAAUUCUGUUCACUUCUUUAUCCUCACAGCAGCCAUCUCCAUAGCUUCCACGCCAGUCUGUAUUCCUCGCGCACCUCCUGUCCGGCAAGGUCGCUGCGUGGUGGAUACAACCGUAAAAUUUCCCGUAAUUUCGGACUCCGCACAGUUUUGGAAAAGCAAUCAGAGUAUUCCCAGAUUGAACCCUUUACACCCACCAUUUGUCCAUAAACGGACUGUCAGUCUGGAGACACCAGAUGUUCACCAGCACAACCACCAGAGGACACUGAUCAUGCAGAGAAAAGAGCAUUACAGGUAGGUGCACUAAAUCAUUUCACUAUCACUGAAUCACUUGUGCCAUUUCCCUCUUUCCUUUGAAGAGCUGACUUCAAAGGCAAUGACUGAAAGUUGCUGUGUCAGAUAUCAUCAGGUAUGGCGAAAACCCUUCUAUGGAACCAGCAGUGAGAGAGAAGAGUACAGGAAGGAGUUGCGAGAACAGCUGAAGAGACAAAUAGAGGAGAAAUGUGCAGCAAUAAAGCUGCAGCUGGCCAAUAAAAUAAAGGAAGCGGAGACUCUCCGAGAAGCAGACCGCCUCGAUCUGGCCAGUGAACGAGACCAAAGGAUCCAACACAGCAAAGCAAUGGCGGUGUACAGAGAUGAGAACAAGAGGCUAAUGGAGCAGAGCUGGAGGGACAGAGCACUAACACGUUCCCAGGAGGCCCUGAAUGAAAGAGAGCUGCUGCGCCUCAACCCCAUCAACUGGAGUGGAACACUGAAAUAGGUCAAACCUCCCCAGGAGGUCAAAACGUCAGACUUGGGCCUCACUGUAGCAUGUGUGUCAGGUGGAAAAAUGGGAUCCCAAAUGUACAGUGCAGAAUCACUAAAGGAACUAAUUUUAAAACAUUUUGGAUUACAUACAGUCAUGUGAAAAAACGGGUACAGAGUCUUUCAAUUCACAGUUUUUGUAUCAGGUCAUUAAAAAAAACAAAAUCUGGUCCUUGGCAAAUCUUAAAAUUAGGUCAAUACAACCUACAUAUCAUACAAUGUCAUCAUUUAUUUAAACACAAAUUCAGACAAAAUACAGAAGCAGUGUUUUAAAAACUUAGUACACCCUUAUUACUUCUAUAGGAAUUCAGAAAGUAAGCAACACUAGGUGAGCUGAUCAGUUUCCUCUUACUUUAUUGAUAACCAGGAAGCUUAUCAAAAACAAUUUGAAGUCUGGUGAUAUAUGGUGAUAAAGAGUAUUCAAAAGUUGAAAACACUCAAUACCGUCACUAAGCUUUCCAGAAAUGGAUGUUCCAAGAAAUUCACCCCAGGGUCCGACUGCAUAACACUGAGGAGAACCUGUCAAAAACAAAAAAAGCUCUGCCUGUCUCAGUUCUCAUGUUAAAUGUUAAAGUUCAC